rnacentral:rRNA from 1 species
UACGUAGGCAGCGAGCGUUGUUCGGAAUUACUGGGCGUAAAGAGUGUGUAGGCGGUGUUCCCAGUCUGUUGCGAAAUCUCCCGGCUUAACUGGGAGGGUGCAGCGGAAACUAGAAUGCUAGGGGGUGGGAGAGGUAAGCGGAAUUCCUGGUGUAGCGGUGAAAUGCGUAGAUAUCAGGAGGAACACCUGUGGUGUAGACAGCUUACUGGACCACUUCUGACGCUGAGACACGAAAGCGUGGGUAGCAAACAGG